rnacentral:rRNA from 1 species
CCUACGGGAGGCAGCAGUAAGGAAUAUUGGUCAAUGGACGCAAGUCUGAACCAGCCAUGCCGCGUGCAGGAUGAAGGCCCUCUGGGUUGUAAACUGCUUUUAUAGGGGACGAAAAAGGGACUUUCUAGUUCAACUGACGGUACCCUAGGAAUAAGCACCGGCUAACUCCGUGCCAGCAGCCGCGGUAAUACGGAGGGUGCAAGCGUUAUCCGGAUUUACUGGGUUUAAAGGGUGCGUAGGUGGGUUGGUAAGUCAGCGGUGAAAUCUUCAAGCUUAACUUGGAAACUGCCAUUGAUACUAUCAAUCUUGAAUCAUCUGGAGGUAAGCGGAAUAUGUCAUGUAGCGGUGAAAUGCUUAGAUAUGACAUAGAACACCAAUUGCGAAGGCAGCUUACUACGAAUGUAUUGACACUGAGGCACGAAAGCGUGGGGAUCAAACAGGAUUAGAUACCCUGGUAGUCCACGCCCUAAACCGAUGGAUACUCGACAUACGUGAUAUACUAUGUGUGUCUGAGCGAAAGUAUUAAGUAUCCCACCUGGAAGUACGAUCGCAGAUUGAAACCUUAAAUGAAUUGACGG